AGGCCACCUGGUGCCCGCUCGCAUGACCGUGCGCGGCACCGACGGCGCCCCCGCCUACUCCAUCUACGGCCGCCCACGCCGCUCAGCGCCCUUCCUCACUCCGGGACCUGGCAGGUACUUCCCGGAGCGAGCGGGGAACGCGACGUACCCCAGUGCACCUCGGCACACCAUUGCUCCCCGAAACUGGGGUGUCCAGGCGGAGCAGCAGAGCCCAGGUCCCGCGGCCUAUACUGUGCCCUCGCUCUUGGGUCCGCGCGUCAUCGGCAAAGUCUCCGCCCCAACUUGCUCCAUCUACGGCCGCAGAGCGGCUGGCAGUUUCUUCGAGGACCUCAGCAAGGUGGGGGAGGGGCCGGGGCGGACGCAGAGGGUCCCUGGUCCGCGGCAGUGGAGGCGGCAGCCAGCACCCUCUGCCCUCUCGCAGACCCCGGGCCCCUGCGCCUACCAGGUCGUGAGUCCAGGGGUCUACAAGUCCCGGGCCCCCCAGUUCACGAUUCUGGCGCGGACUUCGCUCCCCCAAGACAACACUCGGAAGCCAGGGCCCGCGGCCUACAACGUGGAUCAGGUGGCCUGGAGCCCAGGGUCAAGGGUCAGAGUCAGGAGAGUGGGGAGGGCCUGAGGUCGGAGUGAUGGGAUCAG
rnacentral:sRNA from 1 species